AAGACUUUACUUUAUAGGAUCAUUUCUGUAGUUCGUCUUCAUUUACUUUCAAUGCAAAGUAAUGCCAACCUUUAUCACGAUGAUGAGGUGAAUCGUUUCACCUAUAGCGUGAGAAAGUAAACAUGGUCUCUUUGAGUUUAGUUCAGGUUCAAGAGCGUGUUUUUCGAUGAUCGCUGGCUUUGAUAGGUGAAACGAAUUCUGAGUGAU